GGCCCGCGUUAGAUUAGUUAGUUGGUGGGGUAAUGGCCUACCAAGACUACGAUCUAUAGCUGGUUUGAGAGGAUGAUCAGCAACACUGGGACUGAGACACGGCCCAGACUCCUACGGGAGGCAGCAGUGGGGAAUCUUAGACAAUGGGGGCAACCCUGAUCUAGCGAUGCCGCGUGAGUGAUGAAGGCCUUAGGGUCGUAAAGCUCUUUCGCCUGUGAUGAUAAUGACAGUAGCAGGUAAAGAAACCCCGGCUAACUCCGUGCCAGCAGCCGCGGUAAUACGGAGGGGGUUAGCGUUGUUCGGAAUUACUGGGCGUAAAGCGCACGUAGGCGGAUUAGUCAGUCAGAGGUGAAAUCCCAGGGCUCAACCCUGGAACUGCCUUUGAUACUGCUAGUCUUGAGUUCGAGAGAGGUAAGUGGAAUUCCGAGUGUAGAGGUGAAAU
rnacentral:rRNA from 1 species